GACGAACGCUGGCGGCAUGCCUAACACAUGCAAGUCGAGCGAGUUGAUCCCUUCGGGGUGAAGCUAGCGGCGGACGGGUGAGUAACACGUGGGCAACCUACCUCAUAGAGGGGAAUAGCCUUCCGAAAGGAAGAUUAAUACCGCAUAAGAUUGUAGCUUCGCAUUAAGCAGCAAUUAAAGGAGCAAUCCGCUAUGAGAUGGGCCCGCGGCGCAUUAGCUAGUUGGUGAGGUAACGGCUAAGCAAGGCGACGAUGCGUAGCCGACCUGAGAGGGUGAUCGGCCACAUUGGGACUGAGACACGGCCCAGACUCCUACGGGAGGCAGCAGUGGGGAAUAUUGCACAAUGGGGGAAACCCUGAUGCAGCAAUGCCGCGUGAGUGAUGACGGCCUUCGGGUUGUAAAGCUCUGUCUUCGGGGACGAUAAUGCCGGUACCCGAGGAGGAAGCCACGGCUAACUACGUGCCAGCCGCCGCGGUAA
rnacentral:rRNA from 1 species